GACUCGUCACACUAUCAUUAACUGAAUCCAUAGGUUAAUGAGGCGAACCGGGGGAACUGAAACAUCUAAGUACCCCGAGGAAAAGAAAUCAACCGAGAUUCCCCCAGUAGCGGCGAGCGAACGGGGAGGAGCCCAGAGCCUGAAUCAGCAUGUGUGUUAGUGGAAGCGUCUGGAAAGGCGCGCGAUACAGGGUGACAGCCCCGUACACAAAAGCGCAUGUGCUGUGAGCUCGAUGAGUAGGGCGGGACACGUGGUAUCCUGUCUGAAUAUGGGGGGACCAUCCUCCAAGGCUAAAUACUCCUGACUGACCGAUAGUGAACCAGUACCGUGAGGGAAAGGCGAAAAGAACCCCGGCGAGGGGAGUGAAAAAGAACCUGAAACCGUGUACGUACAAGCAGUGGGAGCACCCUUUGGGGUGUGACUGCGUACCUUUUGUAUAAUGGGUCAGCGACUUAUAUUCUGUAGCAAGGUUAACCGAAUAGGGGAGCCGGAGGGAAACCGAGUCUUAACCGGGCGUUAAGUUGCAGGGUAUAGACCCGAAACCCGGUGAUCUAGCCAUGGGCAGGUUGAAGGUUGGGUAACACUAACUGGAGGACCGAACCGACUAAUGUUGAAAAAUUAGCGGAUGACCUGUGGCUGGGGGUGAAAGGCCAAUCAAACCGGGAGAUAGCUGGUUCUCCCCGAAAGCUAUUUAGGUAGCGCCUCGUGAAUUCAUCUCCGGGGGUAGAGCACUGUUUCGGCUAGGGGGCCAUCCCGGCUUACCAACCCGAUGCAAACUGCGAAUACCGGAGAAUGUUAUCACGGGAGACACACGGCGGGUGCUAACGUCCGUCGUGAAGAGGGAAACAACCCAGACCGCCAGCUAAGGUCCCAAAGUCAUGGUUAAGUGGGAAACGAUGUGGGAAGGCCCAGACAGCCAGGAUGUUGGCUUAGAAGCAGCCAUCAUUUAAAGAAAGCGUAAUAGCUCACUGGUCGAGUCGGCCUGCGCGGAAGAUGUAACGGGGCUAAACCAUGCACCGAAGCUGCGGCAGCGACACUCAGGUGUUGUUGGGUAGGGGAGCGUUCUGUAAGCCUGUGAAGGUGUGCUGUGAGGCAUGCUGGAGGUAUCAGAAGUGCGAAUGCUGACAUAAGUAACGAUAAAGCGGGUGAAAAGCCCGCUCGCCGGAAGACCAAGGGUUCCUGUCCAACGUUAAUCGGGGCAGGGUGAGUCGACCCCUAAGGCGAGGCCGAAAGGCGUAGUCGAUGGGAAACGGGUUAAUAUUCCCGUACUUGGUGUUACUGCGAAGGGGGGACGGAGAAGGCUAUGUUGGCCGGGCGACGGUUGUCCCGGUUUAAGCGUGUAGGUGUGUGUUCCAGGUAAAUCCGGUU
rnacentral:rRNA from 1 species